AUACAAAUGACGAGUCCAAAAAUAGGACGAAAUGCGCAUCCUGGAU
rnacentral:hammerhead_ribozyme from 1 species